AAUAAACCAAUUUUUCACUUUUUACCUACAAUUUUUAACUCUCCGUCUUAUUCAAAUUUUUUUGCAAUUGAUAUUUUUGUUUUUAUUAGAUGAUAAAUCAUGAAUAGUACUUUACGUGUAACUAAUUUUUUUUCUAAUUUCCUAAAAAAAUUUCAAAUAAGAUGGAUGGUCAAACGUUGGACACGGAAACC
rnacentral:pre_miRNA from 1 species